CGUAGGGGGGCGAGCGUUGUCCGGAAUCAUUGGGCGUAAAAGAGCGUGUAGGCGGCCUGGUAAGUCCGCUGUGAAAAACCCGGGGGCUCAACCCCGGGCGUGCAGUGGAAACUGCCGGGCUAGAGGGCGGCAGAGGCGAGUGGAAAUUCCCGGUGUAGCGGUGAAAAUGCGCAGAUAUCGGGAGGAACACCGGUAGCGAAAGGCGGCUCGCUGGGCCGUUCCUGACGCUGAGACGCGAAAAGCUAGGGGAGCGAACAGGAUU
rnacentral:rRNA from 1 species